rnacentral:misc_RNA from 1 species
GAUGAAGAACGUAGCGAAAUGCGAUAACUAAUGUGAAUUGCAGAAUUCAGUGAAUCAUCGAGUCUUUGAACGCACAUUGCGCCCCCUGGUAUUCCGGGGGGCAUGCCUGUCCGAGCGUCAUUGCUGCCCUCAAGCACGGCUUGUGUGUUGGGCUCCGUCCCCCCGGGGACGGGCCCGAAAGGCAGCGGCGGCACCGAGUCCGGUCCUCGAGCGUAUGGGGCUUUGUCACCCGCUCUGUAGGCCCGGCCGGCGCCUGCCGACAACCCAUCAUCCUUUUCAGGUUGACCUCGGAUCAGGUAGGGAUACCCGCUGAACUUAAGCAUAUCAAUAAGCGGAGGA